rnacentral:misc_RNA from 1 species
CAUCUUUGUUAUGAUGUCUAGUCCUUUAUAUAUUCUCCUCCUAUAAAUUUUAGUUACCGAGCAAAAUUUAGGCCUAUAGUAUUAGGUACAGUGUGCAUACUGUUAAAUCUCGGUUAGAUUAGUCUCACUCCAAUUCUGUAGGUUAACGUCUUGCUUUUGUAAUUUCAUCUUUAUUUCAUCUAAGUCAUCUUUUUCUUCGUUUUCUAAUGUACGGCAUUGAUUAGGGUGGUAGCUUCCUAGUUUAGUUUUGCUUUAUUUUCACCUUUAAACUGUCUUUUCUCUUGUAACUGCCUUACUCGGUUCUUUGUUGCCUGAAUUGGCUUCUCAACAAUCAACACCUCUUUAUAUAUAUACCAUCUCUUUCUUUGUUUCUUUUAGAUAUGUCUAACUCCCCCGUGUACGGUCUACAUGGGUGUUGUUUCCUCCUUGCCAUCUUUUCUGUUUUUUAAGAGGGGAAGUGGCAAGUGAAAGUGAAAGUAGUUACUGCAUUUGCUUCUUGGGUUUGUAAUUGUAAGGUCAAUCCAAUCCGCGUUGCUUCUUUGAGUUGUAAGCCAUUAGUUUCUCGUUCUUUUGAGUGGAUAACAGGGCGUCCUCCUAGUCUUCAUAGAGCUUGUCUUUGUUGGAGAUUGUUGACCAUACCAUGCUAUUUGUGAGGCCACGGUUGGGGAAGAUUUCAGGAGGCUGCUUUUAUAUUAGAUGUGCAUUAUAGCGUAAUAUUUUCUUAAAAGCUAGUUUUAUUGUAAUCCAUAUGCAGUUUGUCUAGUCGCUUGUGUCCAAGAAAUACAUUCUAAUAUCUAUCUUGCCGUUUUGUAUCGAGUACGAGUCUUUUAAUCAGUCUGGUUGGCUUCUGAUAUUGGAUGAUGAUGUGUUUUACAGUUUCAUUUUAUGUCAGGACUGCAAUUCUAGUUUAAAAAAA